GCUGGGUGUGGUGGUGCGCGCCUGUAAUCCCAGCUACUCGGGAGGCUGAGGCAGGAGAAUCGCUUGAACCCGGGAGGCAGAGGUUGCAGUGAGCUGAGAUGGCGCCAUUGCACUCCAGCCUGGGUGACAGAGUGAGACUCAGUCUCAA
rnacentral:SRP_RNA from 2 species